GCUUAAAUUUUUAUAGGAAAAAAAGAAGAAGGCAGAAGUAGAGAAUGGUGGGCCAUGAGAAACUAGAAAAUGGCACAGCGGAGCCCAACCCAUGAAACGAAAACCCUAACCUUAUAUAACACUCACACAUUCCCUUCGGAACCCACAAAUUUUCUCUCAGUCUCGUUCUCUUUUAUAGGCUGCGGAGAAUUCCUCUCUCUCUACCUCGAUUCUUCUUGAGGUGGUUCACCUCCGUAUAAUUACAAAUUGGUGGUUUCUCUUAAAUACUUGUCAAGAUGGUGAAGUUUACAGCAGAGGAACUCCGUAGGAUUAUGGACUACAAGCAUAACAUUCGCAAUAUGUCCGUUAUUGCACAUGUUGAUCAUGGGAAGUCAACCCUUACCGACUCCCUUGUUGCUGCUGCUGGUAUCAUUGCACAAGAAGUUGCUGGUGAUGUCCGGAUGACAGAUACCCGUGCAGAUGAGGCAGAGCGUGGUAUCACAAUCAAAUCUACUGGUAUCUCUCUCUACUAUGAGAUGACUGAUGAAGCUUUGAAGAGCUACAAGGGGGAGAGAAACGGAAAUGAGUACCUCAUCAAUCUCAUUGAUUCCCCUGGGCACGUUGACUUUUCAUCUGAAGUCACAGCUGCCCUUCGCAUUACUGAUGGUGCACUUGUGGUGGUUGAUUGCAUUGAGGGUGUUUGUGUCCAAACAGAGACUGUGCUUCGUCAAGCCUUGGGAGAAAGGAUCAGGCCUGUUUUGACUGUUAACAAGAUGGACAGGUGCUUCCUUGAGCUCCAGGUCGAUGGAGAGGAGGCUUACCAAGCAUUCCAAAGGGUUAUUGAGAAUGCUAAUGUCAUUAUGGCUACAUACGAAGACCCCCUUCUUGGUGAUGUCCAGGUCUAUCCAGAGAAAGGAACAGUUGCCUUUUCAGCUGGUUUGCAUGGUUGGGCUUUUACUCUGACCAACUUUGCCAAGAUGUAUGCAUCCAAGUUUGGAGUUGAUGAAUCAAAGAUGAUGGAAAGGCUCUGGGGUGAGAACUACUUUGACCCAGCUACCAAGAAAUGGACCAGCAAAAACACUGGUUCUGCUACCUGCAAGCGUGGUUUCGUUCAGUUCUGUUAUGAACCCAUCAAGCAGAUUAUCAACAUCUGCAUGAAUGAUCAGAAGGAGAAGUUGUGGCCCAUGUUGACAAAGCUUGGUGUGACGAUGAAGAGUGAUGAAAAGGAGCUGAUGGGGA